rnacentral:tRNA from 1 species
CAUGGUAAUUAGUUUAACUAAAACAAAUGAUUUCGACUCAUUAGACUAUGUAUCACUCAUAAUUACCAAC